UUGAAAUGCUGAAUUGAUGAAGUUUUUACAUAUGCCAAUUAGGCCGUAGACUACAAAUGCUAGUUGUUGUUUCCUUGUGUUUGAUGGAUGAACUAACUUGAAGGCUUCUUCUUCUUUUGUGCUAUUUCCACUAUUUAUCACCAGAGCAUACUGUUCCCAGCCUCAUCAUGAGAUCAGGAAGCAAGCUUGCUCAGAUCAGCAACAUAACAUUGCAUGCAGAAUAUCAGGGGCUACUGUCAGCCUCAUGGAAGAUAGACCUGAGCUAACUGAAAAGGUGGUCCAAAUAUCCGGUAGUUCCAAGCAGGCUGUAGAGAGAGCCCAGAGCCUUCUCCAGGGAUUUAUUCUGAGCACACAAGAUGCCACACCAAGCUAAAUCUGAGCUAUGGGUGUUGUAAAGCCGAGAUCUUGUAAGGUAGCAAUGGAUGCUUUCAGUUUUCACCAGUAAUCUGUUUUCCCAGAAUCUGGCAGUUAUCAGCAAUCUUU